UACGUAGGGCGCAAGCGUUGUCCGGAAUUAUUGGGCGUAAAGAGCUCGUAGGUGGCUUGUCACGUCGGGUGUGAAAGCUUGGGGCUUAACCUCGAGAUGUCAUCGGAAACCAUUUGGCUAGAGUCCGGAAGAGGAAAGUGGAAUUCCUGGUGUAGCGGUGAAAUGCGCAGAUAUCAGGAAGAACACCAGUGGCGAAGGCGGCUCACUGGCCCGGUACUGACGCUGAGGUGCGAAAGCGUGGGGAGCAAACAGG
rnacentral:rRNA from 1 species